GGUCCCGGCUGCAGGUUGGAACAGCAUCCCCGCACGACAUAGCUGGACUGCGGACUCACAAUCCGCCGGAGAAAUCCGGUUGUGGUUUCGAAUCCCGCCCAGCCCACCA
rnacentral:tRNA from 1 species